AAUCAUCAGCCAGAAAAACACUGCUGCACUAGUGAUUACUGGAAAUAAAAGUCCUGUUGAAA
rfam:Taeniopygia guttata chromosome 8, whole genome shotgun sequence.